AUUGAACGCUGGCGGCAGGCCUAACACAUGCAAGUCGAGCGGAUGAAGGGAGCUUGCUCCUGGAUUCAGCGGCGGACGGGUGAGUAAUGCCUAGGAAUCUGCCUGGUAGUGGGGGAUAACGUCCGGAAACGGGCGCUAAUACCGCAUACGUCCUGAGGGAGAAAGUGGGGGAUCUUCGGACCUCACGCUAUCAGAUGAGCCUAGGUCGGAUUAGCUAGUUGGUGGGGUAAAGGCCUACCAAGGCGACGAUCCGUAACUGGUCUGAGAGGAUGAUCAGUCACACUGGAACUGAGACACGGUCCAGACUACUACGGGAGGCAGCAGUGGGGAAUAUUGGACAAUGGGCGAAAGCCUGAUCCAGCCAUGCCGCGUGUGUGAAGAAGGUCUUCUGAUUGUAAAGCACUUUAAGUUGGGAGGAAGGGCAGUAAGUUAAUACCUUGCUGUUUUGACGUUACCAACAGAAUAAGCACCGGCUAACUUCGUG
rnacentral:rRNA from 1 species